rnacentral:rRNA from 1 species
UGGCGGACGGGUGAGUAAUGUCUGGGAAACUGCCUGAUGGAGGGGGAUAACUACCGGAAACGGUAGCUAAUACCGCAUAACGUCGCAAGACCAAAGAGGGGGACCUUAGGGCCUCUUGCCAUCGGAUGUGCCCAGAUGAGAUUAGCUAGUAGGUGGGGUAAAGGCUCACCUAGGCGACGAUCCCUAGCUGGUCUGAGAGGAUGACCAGCCACACUGGAACUGAGACACGGUCCAG